CAAAAAUGGAUGAUGCGACGGCUGAUGUUAUUCUACGGGAUAUAUUGAACAAACCUGAUUAUUGUCACAACACAUCUAUACAGAACAGCAAUGUUGUUGAUGAGCAACCGUUUUUCCCACACGCGACAGGGGGUCGUGCUAAAACAUUCGAAUAUAAAGCAGAUGACGCUGUAGCAAUGCGUUAUGCGCCGACGAUACCAUCAGGAUGUGAUACAGUAGCGCAAAUACCCCGUCUUAGUACAAGCGGGAAAAUAUCAAAACGCACAACCGCCGCUGAAACGGAAAGCCAUCAAUUCGCAGCAGCAGAUGAUGCUGUAGCAAGACGCUAUGCUCCUUUGAUACCAACAGUCAGUGAUACAUGCGCGCAGAUACACAGACCUAGUACAAGCGGGAAAAUAUCAAAACGCACAACCGCCGCUGAAGCGGAGAACCAUCAAUUCGUAACGCCGGCAAUUGUACAUAAGGACGUU